GCGCGAAAACCUUUCAAUGCGGGAAACCGUGACAAGGGAACUCUGAGUGCCCGUAAAAUCGGGCUGUCCAUCGGUUUAAAUAACCGGUGAAGAAAGGGCCGGGCAAGACCGGUGCCAGCCGCCGCGGUAAUACCGGCGGCUCGAGUGGUGGCCACUAUUACUGGGCUUAAAGCGUUCGUACCUGGUUUGUUAAGUCUCUGGGGAAAUCUUCCGGCUCAACCGGAAGGCGUCUCAGGGAUACUGGCAGACUAGGGACCGGGAGAGGUGAGAGGUACUCCAAGGGUAGGA
rnacentral:rRNA from 1 species